rnacentral:piRNA from 1 species
UAUCACGUAGAGAAGAUGUUUGAUUCAA